GAAGUAGCUCAGCUUGGUAGAGCACAUGGUUUGGGACCAUGGGGUCGCAGGUUCGAAUCCUGUCUUC
rnacentral:tRNA from 2 species